rnacentral:rRNA from 1 species
CGCUGGCGGCAGGCCUAAUACAUGCAAGUCGAGCGCAUCCUUCGGGAUGAGCGGCGGACGGGUUAGUAACGCGUGGGAACGUGCCCUUCUCUAAGGAAUAGCCUCUGGAAACGGAGAGUAAUACCUUAUACGCCCUUUGGGGGAAAGAUUUAUCGGAGAAGGAUCGGCCCGCGUUAGAUUAGAUAGUUGGUGGGGUAACGGCCUACCAAGUCUACGAUCUAUAGCUGGUUUUAGAGGAUGAUCAGCAACACUGGGACUGAGACACGGCCCAGACUCCUACGGGAGGCAGCAGUAGGGAAUCUUGGACAAUGGGCGAAAGCCUGAUCCAGCCAUGCCGCGUGAGUGAAGAAGGCCUUAGGGUCGUAAAGCUCUUUCGCCUGUGAUGAUAAUGACAGUAGCAGGUAAAGAAACCCCGGCUAACUCCGUGCCAGCAGCCGCGGUAAUACGGAGGGGGUUAGCGUUGUUCGGAAUUACUGGGCGUAAAGCGCGCGUAGGCGGAUUGGAAAGUUGGGGGUGAAAUCCCAGGGCUCAACCCUGGAACUGCCUCCAAAACUCCCAGUCUAGAGUUCGAGAGAGGUGAGUGGAAUUCCAAGUGUAGAGGUGAAAUUCGUAGAUAUUUGGAGGAACACCAGUGGCGAAGGCGGCUCACUGGCUCGAUACUGACGCUGAGGUGCGAAAGUGUGGGGAGCAAACAGGAUUAGAUACCCUGGUAGUCCACACCGUAAACGAUGAAUGCCAGUCGUCGGGUAGUAUACUAUUCGGUGACACACCUAACGGAUUAAGCAUUCCGCCUGGGGAGUAC